GAACGCUAGCGGCAGGCUUAACACAUGCAAGUCGAGGGGCAGCGCGUCGUAGCAAUACGAUGGCGGCGACCGGCGCAAGGGUGCGUAACGCGUGAGCAAUCUGCCCGUGUCAGGGGGAUAAGCGAUGGAAACGUCGUCUAAUACCGCAUAACAACCUGGGAGGCAUCUCCCGGGCUUGAAAGAUACGUCGGACACGGAUGAGCUCGCGAGACAUUAGUUAGUUGGCGGGGUAACGGCCCACCAAGACCGCGAUGUCUAGGGGAACUGAGAGGUUGGUCCCCCACACUGGAACUGAGACACGGUCCAGACUCCUACGGGAGGCAGCAGUGAGGAAUAUUGGACAAUGGCCGGAAGGCUGAUCCAGCCAUGCCGCGUGAAGGAUAAGGUCCUAUGGAUUGUAAACUUCUUUUGAGUGGGAGCAAUAAGGGUGUCGUGACACCCGAUGAGAGUACCAUUCGAAUAAGCAUCGGCUAACUCCGUGCC
rnacentral:rRNA from 1 species